rnacentral:rRNA from 1 species
CCUACGGGUGGCAGCAGGGAGGAAUAGUGGUCAAUGGACGAGAGUCUGAACCAGCCAAGUAGCGUGAAGGAGGAAGGCCCUAAGGGUUGUAAACUUCGUUUAUAGGGGAAUAAAAUGUGCCACGUGUGGGAUUUUGUAUGGAACAUAUGAAUAAGGAUCGGCUAACUCCGUGCCAGCAGCCGGGGUAAUACGGGGGUACCGCGCGUUAUCCGGAUUUAUUGGGUUUAAAGGGGGCGUAGGCGGACGCUUAAGUCAGCGGUAAAAUUGCGGGGCUCAACCUCGUCGCGCCGUUGAAACUGGGUGCCUUGAGUGGGCGAGAAGUACGCGGACUGCGUGGUGUAGCGGUGACAUGCAUAGAUAUCACGCAGAACUCCGAUUGCGAAGGCAGCGUACCGGCGCCCAACUGACGCUGAGGCACGAAAGCGUGGGUAUCGAACAGGAUUAGAUACCCCGGUAGUC